rnacentral:rRNA from 1 species
UACGUAGGUGGCAAGCGUUGUCCGGAUUUACUGGGCGUAAAGAGCGCGCAGGCGGUCGUUCAAGUCGCGUGUGAAAGCCCCCGGCUCAACUGGGGAGGGUCACGCGAUACUGAUCGACUCGAAGGCAGGAGAGGGAAGUGGAAUUCCCGGUGUAGUGGUGAAAUGCGCAGAUAUCAGGAGGAACACCGGUGGCGAAGGCGGAUCUCUGGGCCAUUACUGACGCUGAGGAGCGAAAGCGUGGGGAGCGAACAGG